UUGAAAUACAGUAACAGAGGAGUUGCCAGAUUGGAAGCUAAAACUUUUCUCAGUACAAGUUUACUUGAUGUUCUUCAGUCGAGGGUCAAAAAAAAAUGCCAUGAAAUUGCCAAAAAAAUAUUGAGACGCGCAAAUGGGAAUGUGAGAGCAUAGUGAGUGAUAGAUGAGCAAGCUCCAGAGUUACGUUGACGACAAAGGGAGUGUCUUCUCAGGAAAAGGACAAUGGGAGAAAGAGGGCAAAUGAAUGGAAAGGAUGGAAUCAAUAUCAGCAACUUCACAUUUGUGGAAAGACUAUAUCCACUUAGUGAUGACAAAUCGGGCUUUAAAUAUUCCAUCUGCUUGCGAACUAGUACAAUCCAGACCAAUAGCCUUGAUAAGGAUGGGUUAGUCUAUGCUCAAACCCAAACUCUGCAAUAGAGAGAGAUGUGGCAAGACCAUCACUUCUAUACAAGUUUUUUUGGUAACAGCUGUGAAGAAUUACUGCCAGGAAUACAAGAGCUGUUGCAAAUGACCUAAUUUUUUUCACCAGUUUAAAAGAAAGUGACUCUUUUUUUUGACAUUUUCUCCUGCCUGUGGAAUUUCAUUAAAUGUUAUUCCUUGGAAUAUAACCCCAAAAGAAUGGAGAAUAAGAAGUGCACAUGUUGAGUUAGGGUUUAUGGAAUAUGUAAUAAAAACAAAAAGUGCUGGAGAACUCAGCAACUCUGGCAGCAUAUUUGGAGAGAGUAACAGAAUUAACAUUUCAAGUCCAAUAUGAGUUCUUCAGAACAUCUGUUAGGCUGGUAGGCUCACGGUUGCUGCAACUCAACUUCCCCAAUUCUUUUUAUGCUCUAAGCUACCAUCAUGUGCAAGUUGCAUGACUUCCAGUAUCCAUAAUAUUUUCUUUUUGUAUUUGUGACAUCUAUUUUAAUACAGUUGAUGCCAGCUUCUUGUGAUCCUUUUGCCACUAAUUCUUGCUUCAGCUUAGUGCUAAAUUGACAUUUCAGAAUGUUGUGUGUGAAAAAAAGGAAUGAAGUAUAAAAGAUUCUGAUGACAUUUUGAGGCACAUCUUUAUUGUUUUUGAUGAACUGAUAUGUUUGCAAAUUCCAUUUUUAAACAUUGGAGUGGCUAGUAUUUGCUACUCCCAAAUCCAAUAGCUCAAUCCCUAAAUCAAAAGAAUUUAGGAAAACUUUAACUCUUGCAUCUGCAGUUUGUGAUUUAAAGUAUUUGUGAUUUAAAGUACUAUAUUCAGUCUGCUUAACUAUGUAUUACAAGCUUAUGAAAGCAAUAUCAAUGAAUCAAGGUAAAAUAGUAGACAUUUUAGAGGUAUUGAAAAAAAGCCUUGGAGAUAGUAUAACAGUUGUUAUACUUUAUUCUUUUUCUCUGGAAAAUUUUACUUGCAGUUGUUAAUACAAUAAGUUUAUUUGCUUAACCUCCCAUAAUAGAAUCAUGGUAUUUUCUUAAGGUGCAAAUAAUUGUUUGUUCUUUUGUGUUCCUUUCCUAAAUUCAUCCUUCGUCUAAACUUGUCACAUGAUUUUAAAAUGUUCUCGUAUCUCCCCUUC